GGGGGCGACUUGGUUUCGACUGAGCGGAACGAAGCGAUCACCCACCAGCCGGGCAGGAACCGCCCGUUACCCAGGGCCAAUGGCUAUAAAUGCCAACGAUGAGGUAGUGCUCGCCGCCGCAGCGUGAGCCUGACUGGAUAUUAGGAUUGCUUGUCGUCCGCCGUCCAGUCAGUCAACCCAAGACAAGCUGUUCUCCAUGGAGCCAAGGGUUCAGGCGUCAUGGAGCGAGGAUAAAAAUGAACCAUGGUCGGCAAGCUGGCCGUGAGGCUGUCGAACCAAUUUUAUUCACGGCUAUUGGUGUAAAGGAGACUCCCGACGCCCUUUAUGCCUAAAGUUGUCGGGUAAGGCUGGUAAUUAACGGUGACGUGGAGCUGUUCAGGACGCGGGUUCGAAUCCCGCCGCCUCCACCA
rnacentral:tmRNA from 1 species